GACGAACGCUGGCGGCGUGCCUAACACAUGCAAGUCGAACGGAGUGAUGAUUUCGGUUAUCACUUAGUGGCGAACGGGUGAGUAACGCGUGAGAAACCUGCCUUUCAGUGGGGGACAACAGUUGGAAACGACUGCUAAUACCGCAUAAUGUCAUUUAAGGGCAUCCUUGAAUGACCAAAGAUUUAUUGCUGAAAGAUGGUCUCGCGUCUGAUUAGCUAGUUGGUGGGGUAACGGCCUACCAAGGCGACGAUCAGUAGCCGACCUGAGAGGGUGACCGGCCACAUUGGGACUGAGACACGGCCCAA
rnacentral:rRNA from 1 species